CACACACCGCCCGGCGCUUCAUCGAAGUUGGUUUUAGGCGAGGUGGUGCGAUAUUGGCAUUAUCGAACCUGAGAUCAGCAACGAGGGAG
rnacentral:rRNA from 1 species